UACGUAGGGGGCAAGCGUUGUCCGGAUUUAUUGGGCGUAAAGAGCGUGUAGGCGGCCAAGCAGGUCCGCUGUGAAAACUCGAGGCUCAACCUCGAGACGUCGGUGGAAACCGUCUGGCUAGAGUCCGGAAGAGGAGAGUGGAAUUCCUGGUGUAGCGGUGAAAUGCGCAGAUAUCAGGAAGAACACCCGUGGCUAAGGCGGCUCUCUAGUACGGUACUGACGCUGAGACGCGAAAGCGUGGGGAGCGAACAGG
rnacentral:rRNA from 1 species